GAAUUCAAUUAAAUUCUUUUCUUGGAUAUGAUUUAUUCCAAAGAAAUCAAUUCAGUUUCUUUUCAUAAUUCUUUUGCCGUCUGAUAAGAAUGAUAAGUUUAAACAUGAUUCACUGUUUAGAUCCAGACACUGACAUUAGUUGACCUAAAAUCGUUUGCUUUUCACUUCAAUUUUCCUUCACUCCUUUUGUAAAGACCCAAACUAAAUUUCUUCACAUACACCCAAUAAAAAU
rnacentral:misc_RNA from 1 species